rnacentral:rRNA from 1 species
UACGUAGGCAGCGAGCGUUGUUCGGAAUUACUGGGCGUAAAGCGUGUGUAGGCGGUGCUCCAAGUCUGUUGUGAAAUCUCCCGGCUUAACUGGGAGGGUGCAGCGGAAACUAGAGUGCUAGAGGGUGGGAGAGGUAAGCGGAAUUCCUGGUGUAGCGGUGAAAUGCGUAGAUAUCAGGAGGAACACCUGUGGUGGAGACAGCUUACUGGACCACUUCUGACGCUGAGACACGAAAGCGUGGGUAGCAAACAGG